rnacentral:pre_miRNA from 1 species
CCUUUGCUCCUGGUCUCUAAUCCUUGGUACCUAGCUGCUAGUGCUUUCUGCAUGCAGUGCACCUGUGCAGGGAUUUAGAGCAGGCUGAGCC